rnacentral:rRNA from 1 species
UACAGAGGUCCCAAGCGUUGUUCGGCUUCACUGGGCGUAAAGGGUGCGUAGGCGGUCGGGUAAGUCUGAUGUGAAAUCUCACAGCUUAACUGUGAAACUGCAUUGGAUACUAUUCGGCUUGAGAGUUGGAGGGGGGACUGGAAUUCUUGGUGUAGCAGUGAAAUGCGUAGAUAUCAAGAGGAACACCAGUGGCGAAGGCGAGUCCCUGGACAACUUCUGACGCUGAGGCACGAAAGCUAGGGGAGCAAACAGG